UAUUUCAGGAGAAACAUCUAAUGUUUCUGGCGAAGUGGGCGUGCAAACGGGUUACCACAUUUACUAUAACGACCACCGUAUGCAAGGUAGGGGGAAUGUCCGUCCUGAAGCAGGAUCAGUUAGAGACUAUGAAAACCCCGUACAAUAUGACAAAUUGGACGAUUGUAAAAGGAAAGAUUACCAAUACACUGGACUUCAAUCUAACUAUGAAGAAUUAAACGAUGCUAAAAGAGAAGCAAAUGUAUAUACCAUCAUUAUGGAAAGUACCUCAAGAAAUUAGACAGAAACAAAAUCUUUUUAUUUAACAACCACAGAAAACGCUUUAACAUGAAAAUGUGUCUUUCUAUAGUACUAUUCCCUCGUAUGAUCUCUUGCAUCCGUCAGAGAGAUAUGGCUCGACCUUUGUAUAGUAGUCACUGGCCUUGUGAUAAUAACAGUGAUUCAACUUUAUAGUAUACACUUACUGAAUGACUAGCCUGCCAAUAGUCAAACGCAAUGACAGAGAGCAUAUAGUUUUGAAUAUUGGCCGACACGCCAUUAAGUGUUUUAUUACAUGACAUCAGAAAUAAUGUUU